GAAGCUGACCAGACAGUCGCCGCUUUGUCGUCGUCCUCCUUCGGGGGGAGACGGGCAAAGGGGAGGAAAGUCCGGGCUCCAUAGGGCAGGGUGCCAGGUAACGCCUGGGAGGCGCAAGCCUACGACCAGUGCAACAGAGAGCAAACCGCCGAUGGCUCAUUCGUGAGUACAGGUAAGGGUGAAAGGGUGCGGUAAGAGCGCACCGCGCGGCUGGUAACAGUCCGUGGCACGGUAAACUCCACCCGGAGCAAGGCCAAAUAGGGGUUCA
rnacentral:RNase_P_RNA from 1 species